GCAGGCCGCGGGGCCGCGCGCCGCGCUGUGAGGAAGCGGCGGGAGCCGGCGAGGCCGCGCGGGGACACUCGAGGCACCUGCUGCCCGUUUUGCUCUAACCGAACCGGGGCAGCCGCCACGGAGGGGAAAAAAAAAACAAAAUCUCAAAGCCGAGCUGUGCCGCUGCUUUUUGGUUGCGGUUGCGUUUGAUCUACCCACACAGAUACACCGGCGUGGCGUGCUCUGGCUUGCGAGGAACCCGCUCCCCAUACAGCACUGUUUUUAAGGCCUACAGUCACUGGCUCAAGUUUUGUGAUGUGCUGUUUAUAACUGGACAGGCCUGGAAGUGGCUUAGUACCUUCCACUCCUAUUUUAAGUCAGCAGCAACAGUAAGCUGAGCGGCCUCGAAGACCGAGUUGCUUCUCCAAAAGGAUGCUCAACUUGCAGCUGAGGUUAUUAACAAGGUAACAGAGGAGAUUUAUAAUAUAUAGGUUAAAGUAUGUAGGAAACCUGGUCAGUAGCUACU
rnacentral:lncRNA from 1 species